AUGAAGAGUGACUGGUCUAUGGAUCCUCCUCUACAAAUGAAGAGUGGAGACAGAAGCCAGAGUCACAGUUCAGUCCAGCAGAAGAGCUCAGAUUCAGCAGAGCCCAGCUGUGUGUCCAUGAAAAGUGACUGGUCUAUGGAUCCUCCUCUACAAAUGAAGAGUGGAGACCAAAGCCAGAGACACAGUUUGGAUCAGCAGAAGAGAUCAGAUUCAGCAGAGCCCAGCUGUGUGUCUAUGAAGAGUGACUGGUCUAUGGAUCCUCCUCUACAAAUGAAGAGUGGAGACCAAAGCCAGAGACACAGUUUGGAUCAGCAGAAGAGAUCAGAUUCAGCAGAGCCCAGCUGUGUGUCUAUGAAGAGUGACUGGUCUAUGGAUCCUCCUCUACAAAUGAAGAGUGGAGACCAAAGCCAGAGACACAGUUUGGAUCAGCAGAAGAGAUCAGAUUCAGCAGAGCCCAGCUGUGUGUCUAUGAAGAGUGACUGGUCUAUGGAUCCUCCUCUACAAAUGAAGAGUGGAGACAGAAGCCAGAGUCACAGUUCAGUCCAGCAGAAGAGCUCAGAUUCAGCAGAGCCCAGCUGUGUGUCCAUGAAAAGUGACUGGUCUAUGGAUCCUCCUCUACAAAUGAAGAGUGGAGACCAAAGCCAGAGACACAGUUUGGAUCAGCAGAAGAGAUCAGAUUCAGCAGAGCCCAGCUGUGUGUCUAUGAAGAGUGACUGGUCUAUGGAUCCUCCUCUACAAAUGAAGAGUGGAGACCAAAGCCAGAGACACAGUUUGGAUCAGCAGAAGAGAUCAGAUUCAGCAGAGCCCAGCUGUGUGUCUAUGAAGAGUGACUGGUCUAUGGAUCCUCCUCUACAAAUGAAGAGUGGAGACAGAAGCCAGAGUCACAGUUCAGUCCAGCAGAAGAGCUCAGAUUCAGCAGAGCCCAGCUGUGUGUCCAUGAAAAGUGACUGGUCUAUGGAUCCUCCUCUACAAAUGAAGAGUGGAGACCAAAGCCAGAGACACAGUUUGGAUCAGCAGAAGAGAUCAGAUUCAGCAGAGCCCAGCUGUGUGUCUAUGAAGAGUGACUGGUCUAUGGAUCCACCAAUGAAGUUUAACAGUGGAGAUACACAGCCUGGUCUCAGUUCAGUUCAUCAGAAGAGACCAGAAGCAGAGUCCAGCUGUGUGUCUAUGAAAAGUGACUGGUCUAUGGAUCCACCAAUGAAGUUUAACAGUGGAGAUACACAGCCUGGUCUCAGUUCAGUUCAUCAGAAAAGAUCAGAAGAAGAGCUCAGCUGUGUGUCUAUGAAGAGUGACUGGUCUAUGGAUCCACCAAUGAAGUUUAACAGUGGAGAUACACAGCCUGGUCUCAGUUCAGUUCAUCAGAAGAGACCAGAAGCAGAGUCCAGCUGUGUGUCUAUGAAGAGUGACUGGUCUAUGGAUCCACCAAUGAAGUUUAACAGUGGAGAUACACAGCCUGGUCUCAGUUCAGUUCAUCAGAAGAGAUCAGAAGCAGAGUCCAGCUGUGUGUCCGUGAAGAGUGACAGGUCUAUGAUUGAGCCAAUGAGUUUAAGAGUGGAGAUUCACAGCCUGAUCUCAGACAUGAAGUCCUCAACACAUUUAGAUCAAAUCUGCUGAAGAAGUUUGCGUGUCUGUAUGAGGGAAAAGUAAUGCAGGGAAACCCAACACUGCUGAAUGAGAUCUACACAGAGCUCUACAUCACAGAGAGUGAGAGUGGAGAGAUCAGUAAUGAGCAUGAGGUGAGACAGAUUGAGACACAAUCCAGGAGAGCAGCAACAGAGGACACAGCCAUCAAAUGCAGUGAUAUCUUUACACCUUUACCUGGACAAGACAAAGCCAUCAGAACUGUGCUGACAAAGGGAGUCGCUGGCAUCGGAAAAACAGUCUCUGUGCAGAAGUUGAUCCUGGACUGGGCUGAAGGGAAAGAGAAUCAGGACGUCCAGCUCAUAUUUCCACUUCCUUUCAGAGAAAUCAACUUGAUGAAGAACAAAACACUCAGUCUUUCAGAUCUACUUCAUGUGUUUUUCCCUGAAACUAAAGAAAUAGAAAUAUCUAGUGAUGAAUAUAAAGUGUUGUUCAUCUUUGAUGGUCUGGAUGAGUGUCGUCUGUCUCUGAACUUUAAGAGCAAAGUGAAACUGUGUAAUAUAUCUGAAUCAGCCUCAGUGGACGUGCUGCUGAUGAACCUCAUUGUGGGGAAUCUGCUUCCCUCUGCUCUCAUCUGGAUCACCUCCAGACCAGCAGCAGCUGAUCUCGUCCCCUCUGAGUGUGUCCAUCGAGUGACAGAGGUACGAGGCUUCAAUGAGCCACAGAAGGAGGAAUACUUCAGGAAGAGAAUCAGUGAUCAGAGUCUGGCUGACAGGAUCAUCUCACACCUGAAGUCAUCAAGGAGCCUCUUCAUCAUGUGCCACAUCCCAGUCUUCUGCUGGAUCUCAGCCACUGUUCUGGAGAAAAUACUGAGUCGAGCAGAGAGUGGAGAGGUUCCCAAGACUCUCACUCAAAUGUAUACACACUUCCUGAUCCUUCAGACCAACAUCAAACAUGAGAAGGACUAUGAGAAGACAGUCAAAGAUGAAGAUAGGAUUGUCAAACUGGGGAAACUGGCUUUCCAGCAGCUUGUGAAAGGAAACCUGAUCUUCUAUGAGGAAGACCUGAGAGAGUGUGGCAUUGAUGUGACAGAAGCAUCAGUGUACUCAGGAUUGUGCACUCAGAUUUUCAGAGAGGAGUUGGGCUUGUAUCAGGGGAAAGUCUUCUGCUUUGUUCAUCUGAGCCUUCAGGAACAUCUAGCAGCUCUAUAUGCACACUUCUCCUUUACAAUCAAGAACAGAAAUGUGGUUGACCAACCUAAACUAAGUCUGUUGUCUAAGAUUUUUAACCAGAAGAAAUAUAAUUCACUAUCUGAGCUGCAUCAGAGAGCUGUGGAUGAAGCUUUAAAGAGUAAGAAUGGACAUCUGGAUCUUUUCCUGCGUUUUCUUCUGGGUCUCUCAAUAGAGUCCAAUCAGACUCUCUUAAGAAAACUACUGACACAGACAGGAAGCUGCUCCUACAGCAUAAAGAAUACAUUUAAGUACAUCAAACAGAAGAUCGUGGAGAAUCACUCUACAGAGAAAUCCAUCAAUCUGUUUCACUGUCUGAAUGAACUGGGUGAUGAUUCACUGAUGCAGGAGAUCCAAGAUUAUCUAAAAUCUGGAAAAAUAAGAAAAGCUAAACUAUCCUCUUCACAGUGGUCAGCUCUGGUUUAUGUGUUGCUUACAUCAUAGCAGAAGAUGGAUGUGUUUGAUCUGAAACAGUUUAUUGGAGCACAACAUACAGCAGAUGAAGUUCUUCAGAAUCUGUUACCUGUGGUUAAAGAAUCCAGAUCAGUUCGGUAAGUAACACUGAAAACAAUCACUCCACUGUCAAAACAUGAUCAUAUUUAUGAUUCUAGCAUGUGCUUUCUUACCAAAACAACACAAUUGGUUAAAUCUCAGAGAAUCACAUUUAUGGCCAUGAGCAGGAGAGGUGUGUGAGAUACUCUUACUAAAGCAGCUGAGGAGGUUUUUGUGUGUCUGUGUGAGAGCUGAUGAUUGUAGAGCUCAGUGUGGAAGAUGAAGAUGAAGGAUUGAAUAUGAGGGGAUCAAAACUCAAAGCAAAUAGAUUUGGACUCAUUGUCCUCUGUUUAAAUUAAUGUUUUAUUGUCUGUAUGAAUAGUAUUUCAAUUUUCAUAUUCCUUUUCUAAUUAAUUAAUAGAUUUCAUUCAUUCUUUAUUUAAAAGGGACGAUGGCCCACAUAACAUUUUUUAUGGCCCAGCUCUGGUCCACACAAACCCUUUUCCCUUGGCCCACAUACUGCAAAGAAUGACGGCCCUGGAGUGGCCCAGAUUUGGAUUAAAGACAAGGGCUACACAUGGGCCAUAACUGGCCUGAGUCUCAGCCAAUUAAAGGGAUAGUUUACCCAAAAAUGAAAAUUGUUAUGUAUGUUUAUCUGCUUUCCCCCAGGGCAUCCAAGAUGUAGGUGACUUUGUUUCUUCAGUAGAACACAAAUGAUGAUUUUUAACUCCAACCAUUGCAGUCUGUCAGUCAUAUAAUACAUGGCAACAAAAUCUAUGAGAGUAAAAAAAAAAAACAUGCACAGAUAAAUCCAAAUUAAACCCUGUGGCUCAUGAUGAUACAUUGAUGUGUAAAGACACAAAACGAUCGGUCUGUGCAAGAAACUGAACAGUAUUUAUAUCCUUUUUUUUUUUUUUUUUUUACCUCUUAUUCACGCAAUGUCAGGACUGUUAGAACUCUUGUGAAAGCGCGUUCACAGCAGCAGGCGCGUGAGGCAUCUUCUUCUUCUUCUAGCUUUAUGGCGGAUCGCAGACUUAUACGUGCAUUAUCGCCACCUAUCUCUCAAGUGGACCAUUGACACUCCUAAUUGAGAUUGUAGAUAGAGUGUCAAUGAAGAAGAAGAUGCCUCAUGCACCUGCUGCUGUGAAUGCGCGUUCACAAGAGUUCUAAAUAAAUACUGUUAAGUUUCUUGCA
ensembl:lncRNA